rnacentral:lncRNA from 1 species
UAGCCAUCUAAGUACAGUCAUCUUCAGUUAUGUCUCAUUGAUGUAGGGUUGAGUGGAUCUCCUUGGUGGUUGUUGCUUAAGGGCUCUCAUCCAGUACAAGGGGAUAGUGGCUGGGGAUGGAGCCUUCUUGAAGCCAUUUCCACUCUAGCUAGGGGAUACUGGCUGGUGACUGAGACCUUACUUAGCUGUGGCUAAGGACAUCUACAUGGUCUCCCCAUGUGAUAUGGGGAUUUUCACAGCAUGUGGCUGUGCCCAAAGAGGGGAGGCAGUGGUGCAUGGUCUUUGUGAGCCACUGUCAGAAACCACUAGGUGUUUCUUUCAGUGUGUUCUAUUGGUCCAAGUGGUACAUUCCCUUUCUCUAUUCAUAGGGCACUCCAGAGAUCUCACUCCUCUGAGAGAAGAAUAUUAAAGCCACACUGUAAGACAGAUAGGAUAGGAUAGGAUAGGAUAGGAUAGAGCCAACUAGAAAAAUACAGUCUGUCAUAGAUGGGACACCAGAUAAUCUUAGACCUUGGCCAAUAAAUGUCCAGAGUUACUAAAUGGAAAGCAGAGCUAAAAUAUCCCCAGUAGAGGAGCAGUGAAGACUUUCCAAAUCCUUCAGGAUAGGGUAUUAGAGAAUGUAAAAGAAUCCAAGCAGAGAUAGAGUCGGGCCUGGCCAUGUUCAUGUGCAGAGUCAUAGACAUGAGAUACCAAAAGGAGUUGUCUAUUCAGAGCUGAAGGGGAAGGAGAAAAGAGAGUCUAAGAAACAUGAGGAUAUUUAGCACAGUGUACCACGAGUGAACUUCAUCUUCCAAAGACAGCGAACUGCCUCCAGGGCAGAAGUCUAUGAGGUCACCACACUAACUCAGGCAGCCAUUUAUUGCCUCCAAUGGCACGGAAUUGGAAGGGUUGGUUGAAUGGUCCUGGAAGUUGGGGAAACUGCCAAGAAGGAUAGGCAUGGGGAUAGCAGAGCAGGGAGGGGAGAGUAGACAUGGAGACUGGGUAGCAAAGACACGGGGAAGAGGCAGCCCUGAAAACAGAUAACCAUCUGGUAACCUCGUCAGUGGAGAUGGUGACAGGGUUGCAUCCUAAAAGUAGCUGGGCAGGAUCCGAUUUUGACGACCUUUUAUUCUAUACAUUGUCCCUGUUUGGAAAAUAAAAUCUUAUCUCAAUUCCUG